GGAAAUCUUCGCGUUGGAAAAGGGAAUUUUUAUGAGACUGCAAAGAAGCAUAAAAUGAAUAGACAAUCCAACCAACCAAAGACCGGGGGCAGCAGCAGGCCAGCAAGACGGCAUCUUCUCCUUCCCAGCCUAGAAGCCCUGUGAAAUCGAGGAUCUUCCCCCUAAAACACAUACACACAAGAAAUGUGCAAUCAAGCUGCCACCGCUUGGUAAAAAGCUCAUGGUGCCUAACCAAAAAGGAUCAGGAACAGAUCCUUGAAUCAGCUGUCACUUCUAUAGAAUGGGAUGUUUUUUUUUUCCUUCCUCCUUAACCUGCGCUGGAAAUUGCCGUUGGCUUUAUACAUCUCUAUAGAGAGAGGCUAAAGAGUCUUGCGUGAGAAAGAAGCAAUUUACAAUGCAAAUAGAGGCCUGUGAAGGGACGGAUGCUGCUGCUCACUCGUAACAGCUUGCUGCACCUUAAUAGCUGGUUUUAUUUUCUGCUAUUAAUAGAUGAAUUGUGGGCUAACGCUGCCGGAGAUUACUUGCUGAAAGGAAAAAAAAAAGUUCGGAAUAAACUCUGAAGGCAACAGAUCUCGUUUGGAUGUUUUAGCUGUGCACACACACAAACAAACCAGGUCAUAUUUACAUAAAAGGAGGAAUCUUAAGCGCGGCAAGUAACCUGGACGACCGCUCUUCGGUACUGCCAGAAAGGAUCGGGACCUGGAGUCUGGCAAGAGGAAGA
rnacentral:lncRNA from 1 species